GGGCGAUUAGCUCAGUUGGUAGAGCAACGCAUUUACACUGCGAAGGUCGCAGGUUCGAGUCCUGCAUCGCCCA
rnacentral:tRNA from 1 species